CCUACGGGAGGCUGCAGUGAGGAAUAUUGGUCAAUGGACGAGAGUCUGAACCAGCCAAGUAGCGUGAAGGAUGACGGCCCUAUGGGUUGUAAACUUCUUUUAUAAAGGAAUAAAACGAGGCACGUGUGCCUUUUUGCAUGUACUUUAUGAAUAAGGAUCGGCUAACUCCGUGCCAGCAGCCGCGGUAAUACGGAGGAUCCGAGCGUUAUCCGGAUUUAUUUGGUUUAAAGGGAGCGUAGAUGGGUUGUUAAGUCAGUUGUGAAAGUUUUCGGCUCAACCGUAAAAUUGCAAUUGAUACUGGCAGUCUUGAGUACAGUUGAGGUAGGCGGAAUUCGUGGUGUAGCGGUGAAAUGCUUAGAUAUCACGAAGAACCCCGAUUGCGAAGGCAGCUUACUAAACUGUGACUGACAUUGAUGCUCGAAAGUGUGGGUAUCAAACAGGAUUAGAUACCCGAGUAGUC
rnacentral:rRNA from 1 species